UACAGAGGGGGCGAGCGUUAUUCGGAAUCAUUGGGCGUAAAGGGCGCGUAGGCGGCCGAGCAAGUCUUGGGUGAAAUCCCUCGGCUUAACCGAGGAACUGCCCUGGAAACUGCUCGGCUUGAGGCCGGGAGAGGGUGGUGGAAUUCCCAGUGUAGCGGUGAAAUGCGUAGAUACUGGGAGGAACACCAGUGGCGAAGGCGGCCACCUGGACCGGUCCUGACGCUGAGGCGCGAAAGCGUGGGGAGCGAACGGG
rnacentral:rRNA from 1 species